UGCCAAGCUUAGAUUAUAGAUGGCUUACAUUCGCUCAAUUACAACAACGCUCGUUCGCGCAUUUGACAGCCGUCGUACGAAUGUGCCAAUAACCUAUAUGUUGUUGCUAAAUAUUUCUGUUCUAGUGAAUAUUUAAUAAAUAAAUUUAGUAUGGUCACGUGCCAAGUUGUUUCAACUAAUGAAUAUUGAAUUGCACGUCUUAAUUGAUGGCCAGAACUUGGUAUAUCAAUGUCAAUUCAUAAAAAUGAUGUAAAGGCAGUGGCAGAUUGUCGAAGGAGAGUAAUCUUACUUCAGGCUUCUUUGAGCUGUAUUGAAGUGUGUGGAUUAGACAAAUCUCCUUUACGGGAAUCAUGAAAGAGUUUUCCUCUCACGCAUUCACG